AUGACUUGUGACAUCAGAAGGCCAAGUGGUGAUGUCAUUCUAACUGUCCCACAGUGACCAAAACACGGCAGUGUUGGGAGUUGGGGCCUAUUGGCUGAGAGUUGCCACAGUUUAGAAGGAGGAGGAAAGGUGGGGACCUGAGGGCCUGUUUCCUGGGAAUGUUUCCCCUGUGUCAUUUUGCUUGCUAAAGAGAAUGGCUUCCCCUUGGACACAGGGACCUGCAGGGGUUCCGGACACCUCUUCAUCCCAGGCUUUAUUUUUGCAAGAUGAGUUUUGGUGGUGGCUCUGCCCUGAUGAAGUGGAUCUACUUUCCUGGGGAUGGCUCCUUUCCAAGAUAUUCCAUUAAAAUGCACCAAAAAGGAAGACUCGACAGCUGAUGAAGUGGAAGUUGGAAGCAGGAGGACCAGACUAGCAGACAUUUUAUCUUCAGCUUAUGGUUUGUCAUUCAACCAAACUGAUUUGAUCAAAAGCAA